AAGAAGAGAACACGGAGGAUACCUUGAUCAUCUCAGUUCCUGAGAGCAGACAGGAGCCGAUGGUCCCUUCUGAAGAAAAAAAAUCAACAGAGGAUAAAUAUGAAAAACUCUCGGUUCUGGGCAAAAUUCUUCAAAAUAUUGGAAGAUCGCAAGAAAAAAGCAACCAUCACCAGAGAAGGAUGAACUCACCAAAGCGGCAGGGACAGACGGUGCCCCGGGAUGUGGGCCAAACAGGAAGAACAGCAAAGACUUAUGCCCAUUCUUAGGACAACACAGACACAUACACACACACACACACACACACACACACACACACACACAGAGUUAAUUAUUCUAUAAAGGAAACUUGUUGUAUCCAUGUGACCCCAAACUGAGUUACUUUAUUUUAAGUACUAAGGUAGAAGAUUGCCUUACCAAAACAGCUCUCAGAGUUCCCUGGGGGAAGGAAGGCAAGA